AUAGGGUUGCAUCCUCAGCUGUUCAAUUUCUCUUAGGAGGAUACAGAAAUUGGAAGCCAUUUGUAUCUCCCUCUGCUGGAGGAAAAAAAUUGGAUAGAGACAACUACAGGAAUGGUACUAUGAAUAGAAAGGUGUUUGGAGAUCCACAAGAUUCCCUGGACCCAUUUGGAGUUGCACUACAGGACAG